AGUGAAACUUCGCAACAUUUUCAGUUACUGUUAAAAGCAUUUUCAGUUACUGUUGAAAGUUUAAAGUAAAAUGUUUACUCCCGAGGUCCAUGAAAUACUUCAAAUUUUUAUUCUUUUCUUGUUAGUUGCACUGAUAACAGGUUCUUUGGUUUACGGGUUCUUUUUGGAUAAGAAAGUUAGAAAAAUCAGAACCAUGUUGAAAUCUAGACCAAGUUCAAGGAGACAGAAGUCAACUCGGCGCGGUGAGAGUGAAUCGACAGAGAAUCAGAUGAAAACUAAUUGAUUAGACCGAUUCAUGCAUCGACAUCAAGAAAUAAGUAAAAAAUGUGUUUAAUGCAAUUUUUAUCUUUUA